rnacentral:rRNA from 1 species
AACCUCCGCAAUGUGAGAAAUCGCGACGGGGGGAUCCCAAGUGCCAUUCUUAACGGGAUGGCUUUUCAUUAGUGUAAAGAGCUUUUGGAAUAAGGGCUGGGCAAGACCGGUGCCAGCCGCCGCGGUAACACCGGCAGCUCUAGUGGUAGCAGUUUUUAUUGGGCCUAAAGCGUCCGUAGCCGGUUUAAUAAGUCUCUGGUGAAAUCCUGUAGCUUAACUGUGGGAAUUGCUGGAGAUACUAUUAGACUUGAGACCGGGAGAGGUUAGAGGUACUCCCAGGGUAGAGGUGAAAUUCUGUAAUCCUGGGAGGACCGCCUGUUGCGAAGGCGUCUAACUGGAACGGUUCUGACGGUGAGGGACGAAAGUUAGGGGCGCGAACCGGAUUAGAUACCCGGGUAGUCCUAACUGUAAACGAUGCGGACUUGGUGUUGGGGUGGCCUUGAGCUGCUCCAGUGCCGAAGGGAAGCUGUUAAGUCCGCCGCCUGGGAAGUACGGUCGCAAGACUGAAACUUAAAGGAAGU